AUGGCACACAGUGAGGAGGUGAGCCCGGGCCCCGGCGCCGCGGGCAGCGCGGUGGCACUGGCUCCGUGUGACCCCCGCCCGUGGUUUUUCAGGCCUCUCCCCUCUCCGCGGACACCAUGCACAACGGGGGCCCGGCAGAUACCAAGCCUGGCGCCGAGCUGCCGCCCCCACCACCGCCCCCACCACUGCCCGAAACCGCCUGCCCGCCGCCACCGCCGCCACCGCCGCCAGCUGAGGCCCCCGCCGGGCCCCGCCGCUCCUCCUCCUCCACGGGAAGUAAGUCGGGGGUCCUGGGGGGCACGGGGGGCCAGGGCCCGGCAGUGGGCACAGCUCCUGCCCCGGCCACGUGGCGGUGCCGGGCUGGACGUGCCCCGGCACUGGGCGCCUUCGUGCUUCUCCUGUCCCUGCGCUCCGGCUCCUCGGGGCGCAGCUCCUGACAGCCUCUCUGUCCUUCUCUCCUCCGGUUUCGGCGCGGGGGCUCCCACGCCUGCCCGCCCCCACUUGCUCUCACUGCUGGCUGCUUCUCUUCUCUCUUGUCUUGUGGUGGCCAAAUCCUUCCUCUGCUACAUGCGCUGUGCCGCCUCUCUGCUUCUCCCCCUAGAAGGAAAGGCUUUGAGACAGAUGAAGAGUAAGUACCGUGGCUCGUUACUCUCUGGUGGUCAGGUAGUGCCCGCGGGGACGCAGCGCCUGCAGCCCACAGCAGGGCGCCUCGAUGCCCGCACCCCUGCCUGUGACACGGGGCUGUCCCGCAGGGUGGCCGAGGUGGCCACAGUCACGACGGUGCCCAGCCCUCGCCAACGUGCCCCAGGCCGUGAGGCCAACAACGUGCCGCUGGGUGCCAAAGCAGGAGCCCUGAGCUCCGGCACGGCUCCGCCUGAGGCAGGAGCAGAGCGUGGGGCCGCCGCUGCUGCCCGGGCAGGGCUGGCAGGGCCCCGUGUCCCCCGUGGCCCCACGGCCCCGUGCACAGAGCGCCUUUGUUCGCGCUCAGCCGGCCGGCAUUACCUCGCCACGUGA
rnacentral:lncRNA from 1 species